rnacentral:rRNA from 1 species
UACGUAGGGUCCGAGCGUUGUCCGGAAUUAUUGGGCGUAAAGAGCUCGUAGGCGGUUUGUCGCGUCUGCUGUGAAAUCCCGAGGCUCAACCUCGGGCCUGCAGUGGGUACGGGCAGACUGGAGUGCGGUAGGGGAGAAUGGAAUUCCUGGUGUAGCGGUGGAAUGCGCAGAUAUCAGGAGGAACACCGAUGGCGAAGGCAGUGCUCUGGGCCGUAACUGACGCUGAGGAGCGAAAGCGUGGGGAGCGAACAGG